ACACACGUGCUACAAUGGUCGGUACAAAGGGUUGCUACCUCGCGAGAGGAUGCUAAUCUCAAAAAGCCGAUCGUAGUCCGGAUUGGAGUCUGCAACUCGACUCCAUGAAGUCGGAAUCGCUAGUAAUCGCGGAUCAGAAUGCCGCGGUGAAUACGUUCCCGGGCCUUGUACACACCGCCCGUCACACCAUGGGAGUUGGUUCUACCCGAAGGCGAUGCGCUAACCGCA
rnacentral:rRNA from 1 species